GACGAACGCUGGCGGCGUGCUUAACACAUGCAAGUCGAGCGGUAAGGCCCUUUCGGGGGUACACGAGCGGCGAACGGGUGAGUAACACGUGGGUGACCUGCCCUCAGCUCUGGGAUAAGCCUGGGAAACCGGGUCUAAUACUGGAUAUGACUCCAUGACGCAUGUUGUGGGGUGGAAAGCCUUGUGCGGCUGAGGAUGGGCCCGCGGCCUAUCAGCUUGUUGGUGGGGCGANGGCCUACCAAGGCGACGACGGGUAGCCGGCCUGAGAGGGCGACCGGCCACACUGGGACUGAGACACGGCCUAGACUCCUACGGGAGGCAGCAGUGGGGAAUCUUGCGCAAUGGGCGAAAGCCUGACGCAGCGACGCCGCGUGAGGGAUGACGGCCU
rnacentral:rRNA from 1 species